GGGCUGGGGCUCAGUGGUAGAGCGCUUUCCUAGCAUGUGUGAGGCACUGGGUUCAAUCCUCAGCACCACA
rnacentral:tRNA from 1 species